CUACAUUGUGUGAGGCACGAGUAUUACUAGUUGUGCCAGAGAAUCCAAUUUCUUCUAACUUUAAACUGUCACCGACUUAUAGUCCGUGGCCCAUUUAAAGCUGAAAAAACUGGCUAAAUACAUAGACAGCCGCUUUAACUUGUCAUAAUUGUUCAGGUAGACACCUUAACUGAAGAUGUUUCCUAUUACACACUCAAACUACCAUCAAAGUGUAUCUAUUAGACACU
rnacentral:lncRNA from 1 species